rnacentral:ncRNA from 1 species
GUAGACCUUCAGGGCAGGGUGAGGUCAGCCAGGCUGACCAAUUCCCGAUCGGUGGUGAUGCAGGGAGUCUGACGAGCCCACGAGCCUACAGGUUAUCGAGACACCGAUUGUGGCGAUAACCGAGGCAGGAACGGGUGAGAAUCCCGUGCCGACGGUAUAGUCCGGAUGAAAGAAGGUUGCA